GUCAUCUACAAGACAGCCACAAAUUAUGUUUCUCCCUGCUCUGAUCACUCUGGUCAACAUUAAACUAGCUGCCGACGGAUGAGAGACAGGAGGCGUGGAACUAAGUUUAUCUCAGAGAAAAGACAUCUAUCCUCCACUGAUCAUCUCUGUAGGUCUCCACACAUCAAGCUCUGCUUAAGGAAGCUACACAAGACCUUUGCCCUUGUAUGGGCGAGGAAGAUGGGGUACAAGGGUCGGGGGCAUUGUUCAUGAAGGAAGAUCAUAAAUGGAAGCCUGAGGAGCCAAAACCCAAGGAUGUGCUGGGAACUCCACUGAGAGGUGAUCUCUGACCACUGGAUCACUUUCUUCUAG
rnacentral:lncRNA from 1 species